AUCGUCGAAAGAAGAAAUUGCCCCACUCCACUGAAGUUCAUCCGACGACUCUAAAACGACAUGGCCAUCCACAAACGAGACCCGCGUCUCCGUUCCCGUUUGGCCGGAUCUUUCAGGCAGUAUCCAACAAAGGAGGCCCAAGCAGGGUUGUACCAGGCUGCGCUGAUAUCUACCUGCAACAAAAGUGAGACUGGAGUCCACCGACCGGAGAAAUCAACUGGGACGGGAUGUACCUUCAUUGUAUAAUGAACGUCUUGCGUGCGGAUUCUUUUCCACUGCGGCCAUCGUACUCUUAUCCAGAACCAAAUACAGAACGAUGAUGGUUGUAAGCUCGACAGCCGUUUGAAGCCCGCUACCGGUGCAGACAAGGGGCGAUACAAAAAAAAUAGAUGGAUAUUGCAGCAAAGAAACAUUCUUGUGUGCGUCCUUCGUCCCACGACGCUUCAAUUGGCAAUAUCUAAUACCAGUGAUGUAUUGAUGAUCAACGUUGCCAAGCGCUCGAAGCUCUCAAUACACUCAGCCGACUACGGUUUUCCAGACAUGAGCAUCGUAUUUAAUUCGAGUAUUUUUCACUGCAAGUAUCUUCACUACUCUACGUAUUGGCCAUUCGUCCGUUUACCAACUAAAGCAACUCAACAGGACCUUAUAGAGCGGAAGACUCGUGUUGCAUAAAAUUAACGUUAUUUAUAGGACAAACAUAUCUUGCAGCACUGUGUAGGACAGGGUGACGAUGUGUUGAGUGGUCUCCGCGGCGCUCGUGAUAGACCCACCCAAAUCGCUACAAGCACCGAGUCAUGCUGCUCAUCAGAUCGUAACUGUUAGUAUCCAAACAGUCAAGGGGAAAUUUGCAGACUGUGAACUCUAUCGGCAUUUUGGCCGUUCACACAGUACUCAAUUACUAAAAUAAAGUCUGUAAUAAUUGUAAAAAUCUGUUAUCUGCAUAUGAUGAUUUUCUUUUAAGCAGACUAGUUUUUGCCCGAAACGGCACAGCAAGUCGUCAGUGACAUAAAUCCAAUACCCCACAGUCUUGAUUCAAUAGGCUAUUGUGUAUAGAAAAAAAGAGCAUUAGCCCGCAUUGAGCGCACUGAUUAUGUGGAUACAGAAUACAGCCCCGUUAGCGGUUCAACCUGCACACAUAGACGCGAAAGCGCCCUGUUUUCUUCAACGUUAAU